rnacentral:rRNA from 1 species
GUGGGGAAUUUUGCGCAAUGGGGGAAACCCUGACGCAGCAACGCCGCGUGGACGAUGAAGCUUCUUGGAGUGUAAAGUCCUUUCGGCAGGGACGAAAUUUUGACGGUACCUGCAGAAGAAGCCCCGGCUAACUUCGUGCCAGCAGCCGCGGUAAUACGAGGGGGGCGAGCGUUGUUCGGAAUUAUUGGGCGUAAAGGGCGCGUAGGCGGUGUGGCAAGUCAGGUGUGAAACCUCCAGGCUUAACUUGGAGCUUGCAUCUGAAACUGCCAUGCUAGAGUGUGGGAGAGGAGAGUGGAAUUCCUGGUGUAGCGGUGAAAUGCGUAGAUAUCAGGAGGAACACCGGUGGCGAAGGCGGCUCUCUGGACCACAACUGACGCUGAGGCGCGAAAGCUAGGGGAGCAAACAGGAUUAGAAACCCUAGUAGUCC